AAGAGACAGCAGUCGCCGCGGGAAUACGAAGGGUGCAAGCGUUACUCGGAAUUACUGGGCGUAAAGCGUGCGUAGGUGGUGGUUUAAGUCCGUUGUGAAAGCCCUGGGCUCAACCUGGGAAUUGCAGUGGAUACUGGGUCACUAGAGUGUGGUAGAGGAUAGUGGAAUUUCCGGUGUAGCAGUGAAAUGCGUAGAGAUCGGAAGGAACAUCUGUGGCGAAGGCGACUAUCUGGGCCAACACUGACACUGAGGCACGAAAGCGUGGGGAGCAAACAGGAUUAGAUACCCGGGUAGUCCCUGUCUCUUAUAC
rnacentral:rRNA from 1 species